UAGGCACUUGUACGUGUGUGUUAUAUAAAACAAAGACCCGUGGUUAGAGAGAUGAAAAUAAUACCCCAGUGAACUCUGACGGGAAAAAGGAAAGUCGGAGCACCGGAUUUCCGAGCAGGGAGCUGAAACCGAGAGCAGAGAUGAGGAAGAGCAUGUUGCUGCUAACAGCCACCUGAACCAUUGCCCUCUCCCGACUUCUUUAGGAUCCUUCAACUUCCACACAGGUGAGCCUAGUAAUCCCAAACUUGCAGGUUCAUUCCUCUCUAAGGUUCAAGACAAGAAAGAUUUGAUUCAGGAAACACAUGACUGGCCUAUGUCUACCACUGAAACUUGGAGCUCUUGUGAAAGCAUGCUGGCUGCUUGGUCAGUCACCAUGCUGAUCUCCAGGCCUGCUUCAGUGCACCAGGCUGCCAAGGACCCCUCCAGCCAUGAAAUCCUGUGUCUAACCCCCAGGACGAUGGUCAGGACCUACUUAUCUGUGGACAGAUAUCCAGGUGGGCCCACUCACCUCUUGGACUUCUCAGUAUUGACUUCUGGAAUCCUUCUACUGUGCUAUACAUUCAACAGGACAUCAAGACCUUGUUGAUAUUGGACCUUUGUUUAUUUUGAAAAAAACUAAUUCAAAUCCACUCACAUCAUAUUGAUAUGACUGAUACUUGAACCAUGUCUGGAUAUGCUCAUUUCCUUGGAUAUUCUGCUUCAGUGGCCUGCUUAAACUUCUGUGAUUGGCAAAGACCUGCCCACCAGUCCCAUUCUCUGCCUGAAUGAUUCUGUCUUUAUGGGAAUAAAUCACCACUCUCCACUGAUAAAUCCCAAAAUGUGAUCAUGAUCAAUAAUAGGGGCAGUAUUUCCAUUCCAUUUCAGCAUCAAGGGCAUCAAAGGCAAAGGCAGCCUUGUUCAGUGGUUAAGUUUAACGACAUUGGAGUUCAAAUCCUAUUUCCUCCACUUUUUGGCUAAAUGACCUCUAGUUUUCUGUGUUUCAUCUGUAAAACUGGGGUAUUCAUAGUGCUCAUCUCAUACAAUAUUGUGAGGAUUAAGGUAAAUAAUAAAUAUGACUACUUAGAGAAAUGCCAAACAUGUUAUGAUUGCUCCAUAAAUGGUUAGCUAUUACUAUUAUUGCUGGGGGAUAGGAAAUGGGAGCCAGGCGAAUGGUUGAAGAAACUGAAGCAAGAAAAGUGUAGAGAAAAGGAAGAAUUAAAAGAAUGUGAGAAAGAACAUAUAGAAGACAAUGGGCAUGGAGCAAAAGUGGUGGAUUCUUCCGUCUUCCACCCUAGAGGGUGGGUGGCUAGACCCUUGCAGAAGUAGUCAGAAUCAUAGUCACAAGUAAGGGUGAGAAAGCGGAAUUUGGAGCAUAUGACUGUGAGUCUUGGUUCUUUGAGAAAACUUUUCCAACGUGGACGAGUCAUGAGUUUGCAUACUCAGACUUCUCUUAUUUCAGUGAUUUCAGAGGAAUUCUAUUGGACAUGUCAUUUGGCCAUUUAAUCGACUCAGCCACCCAGGUGCCCCAACU